ACGCAAGUAGCAAUACUUGAGUGGCGGACGGGUGAGUAACGCGUGAGAAUCUACCUUUUGGUCUGGGAUAACAGCUGGAAACGGCUGCUAAUACCGGAUGUGCCGCAACGUGAAAGAUUUAUCGCCAAAAGAAGAGCUCGCGUCUGAUUAGCUAGUUGGUGAGGUAAAGGCUCACCAAGGCUGCGAUCAGUAGCUGGUCUGAGAGGAUGACCAGCCACACUGAGACUGAGACACGGCCCAGACUCCUACGGGAGGCAGCAGUGGGGAAUUUUCCGCAAUGGGCGAAAGCCUGACGGAGCAAGACCGCGUGAGGGAGGAAGGCCUUUGGGUUGUAAACCUCUUUUCUCAGGGAAGAAGAAAGUGACGGUACCUGAGGAAUCAGCCUCGGCUAACUCCGUGCCAGCAGCCGCGGUAAUACGGAGGAGGCAAGCGUUAUCCGGAAUUAUUGGGCGUAAAGCGUCCGUAGGUGGCUUUCUCAAGUCUGCGGUUAAAGACUGGGGCUUAACUCCAGAAAGGCCGUGGAAACUGAAAGGCUAGAGAGCCGUAGGGGUAGAGGGAAUUCCCGGUGUAGCGGUGAAAUGCGUAGAGCUCGGGAAGAACAUCGGUGGCGA
rnacentral:rRNA from 1 species